CAGGGGCUGCUGGCUGGAGGGA
rnacentral:miRNA from 12 species